GAUGAACGCUGGCGGCGUGCCUAAUACAUGCAAGUCGAGCGAACAGACGAGGAGCUUGCUCCUCUGACGUUAGCGGCGGACGGGUGAGUAACACGUGGAUAACCUACCUAUAAGACUGGGAUAACUUCGGGAAACCGGAGCUAAUACCGGAUAACAUGUUGAACCGCAGGGUUCAACAGUGAAAGACGGUCUUGCUGUCACUUAUAGAUGGAUCCGCGCCGCAUUAGCUAGUUGGUAAGGUAACGGCUUACCAAGGCAACGAUGCGUAGCCGACCUGAGAGGGUGAUCGGCCACACUGGAACUGAGACACGGUCCAGACUCCUACGGGAGGCAGCAGUAGGGAAUCUUCCGCAAUGGGCGAAAGCCUGACGGAGCAACGCCGCGUGAGUGAAGAAGGUCUUCGGAUCGUAAAACUCUGUUAUUAGGGAAGAACAAAUGUGUAAGUAACUAUGCACGUCUUGACGGUACCUAAUCAGAAAGCCACGGCUAACUACGUG
rnacentral:rRNA from 1 species